rnacentral:rRNA from 1 species
UGGGGGAUAACGUAGGGAAACUUACGCUAAUACCGCAUACGACCUUCGGGUGAAAGCAGGGGACCUUCGGGCCUUGCGCGGAUAGAUGAGCCGAUGUCGGAUUAGCUAGUUGGCGGGGUAAAGGCCCACCAAGGCGACGAUCCGUAGCUGGUCUGAGAGGAUGAUCAGCCACACUGGAACUGAGACACGGUCCAGACUCCUACGGGAGGCAGCAGUGGGGAAUAUUGGACAAUGGGCGCAAGCCUGAUCCAGCCAUACCGCGUGGGUGAAGAAGGCCUUCGGGUUGUAAAGCCCUUUUGUUGGGAAAGAAAAGCAGUCGAUUAAUACUCGGUUGUUCUGACGGUACCCAAAGAAUAAGCACCGGCUAACUUCGUGCCAGCAGCCGCGGUAAUACGAAGGGUGCAAGCGUUACUCGGAAUUACUGGGCGUAAAGCGUGCGUAGGUGGUUGUUUAAGUCUGUUGUGAAAGCCCUGGGCUCAACCUGGGAAUUGCAGUGGAAACUGGACGACUAGAGUGUGGUAGAGGGUAGUGGAAUUCCCGGUGUAGCAGUGAAAUGCGUA